rnacentral:rRNA from 1 species
CUAUAGGAGAUUGAUUUAGCGGCCGCGCUUCGCCCUUGUGCCAGCCGCCGCGGUAAUUCCAGCUCCAAUAGCGUAUAUUAAAGUUGUUGCAGUUAAAAAGCUCGUAGUUGAAACUUGGGUCUGGCUGGCCGGUCCGCCUCACCGCGUGCACUCGUCCGGCCGGGCCUUCCUUCUGGAGAACCUCCAUACCUUUCCUGGGCGUUUAUAUAGAAAACAGGACAUUUACUUUGAAAAAAUUAGAGUGCUCCAGGCAGGCCUAUGCUCGAAUACAUUAGCAUGGAAUAAUAAAAUAGGACGCGCGGUUCUAUUUUGUGGGUUCAUAGGACCGCCGUAAUGAUUAAUUGGGACAGUCGGGGGCAUCAGUAUUCAACUGUCAGAGGUGAAAUUCUGGGAUCAGUUGAAGACUAACUACUGCGAAAGCAUUUGCCAAGGAUGUUUUCAUUAAUCAGGAACGAAAGUUAGGGGAUCGAAGACGAUCAGAUACCGUCGUAGUCUUAACCAUAAACUAUGCCGACUAGGGAUCGGACGAUGUUAUUCAUGACACGUUCGCCACCUUACGAGAAAUCAAAGUGCUUGUGCUCUAGGGGGGAGUAUGUGCGCAAGGCUGAGACUUAUAGAAAUUGACGGCAAGGGCAUCACCAGGGGUGGAGCCGUGCUGGCGUUAUUUUGUCUCAUCACGGCGGAGACUCACCAGGUCGCAGACACUAAUAAAGGGAGUGGACGAGAUUGAGAGCUCUUCUCUUGAUGUUGUUGGGUGGUGGUGCAUGGUCGCUUCUUCAGUUGGUCGGGUGACGUCGUCUGCUUCAUUAGUGAUGACGAACGAGGACCAUUAUUCCUGCUGAAUAAGUCCCGCAUUGCUUCGGGCAGGUGCGCUGGCGUUCUUCGUAGGGACUUUCGGCUCAUGCCGAAGGAAGUUUGAGGCAAUAAUAAGGGCCUGCGAUGCUCUCUCAGAUGUUUCUUGCG